rnacentral:rRNA from 1 species
GACGAACGCUGGCGGCGUGCCUAAUACAUGCAAGUAGAACGCUGAAGAGAGGAGCUUGCUCUUCUUGGAUGAGUUGCGAACGGGUGAGUAAUGCGUAGGUAACCUGCCUUGUAGCGGGGGAUAACUAUUGGAAACGAUAGCUAAUACCGCAUAACAAUGGAUGACACAUGUCAUUUAUUUGAAAGGGGCAAUUGCUCCACUACAAGAUGGACCUGCGUUGUAUUAGCUAGUAGGUGAGGUAAUGGCUCACCUAGGCGACGAUACAUAGCCGACCUGAGAGGGUGAUCGGCCACACUGGGACUGAGACACGGCCCAGACUCCUACGGGAGGCAGCAGUAGGGAAUCUUCGGCAAUAGGGGCAACCCUGACCGAGCAACGCCGCGUGAGUGAAGAAGGUUUUCGGAUCGUAAAGCUCUGUUGUAAGUCAAGAACGGGUGUGAGAGUGGAAAGUUCACACUGUGACGGUAGCUUACCAGAAAGGGACGGCUAACUACGUG